ACCUUGUCCUGGCAUAACAGCCUAUCCAACACCAUUCCCAGUUUCCUGCUGUUCCCCAGCUUUGGGGCUGGGAGGAACAAACCCACCCCCAUCCCCACCUCCACCCUGCCAGCAACCCACCUUCAUUCAGCACAAGCAUUCCUUUGCCUAGGAAGAAGCAGGCUUCAGUUCUUCCAUUGCUCUAUGCUUCAACCUCAACCGGUCUCCAGGUUUUUAAAUGCCUGUAUGGAAAUAAUCACUCACUAGCUGCCUAUUGCAAGCUAGCAGGACUCUUGAAGCAGAUCAUCCAGAUCAUCUCAGAAGGACUCUCCCAGCUUCUAAUCCUAUUGCUGCACUGGCUGUGAGUGUGCAGUAAAUGUGAAGAAAUAUGAGAAGGUGACUAUAAACCAGAAACAAUAAAUCUACACAACUUCUGGGAAAUCACCAACCUUCUAUUAGUCAUUAAUUAAACCAUCAAUCAAAAGGAUACACGUGCCAACCAGGAAGAAGUCUUCAGAUGGCCAACCAUUUGUUACAUCAUAGCUUAUGAAAUAAUCCAUCUUUUUUUCAUAAGCCAGCCUUCCUGCUCAGCGGCACACAAGGAGACAAAUCUUUCAGCUACUUCUGCUGGUGUCCUAUGCCUGCAACCUGAAAUUAGGAAAAGCACGCUGAAGUGUUGAGAAGCAGGAAGAAAAAGGCCUUGUAGGACAGAGCCCAUCCUUAGAAGAGGGAAAUGAUCCUUGAGGACAGGGCAAGCUUCUUCUGAGAAACAGUUUCAUCUCCUUGAGCGCUGCCAGCUAUGGGACUCCUUCAGCUCCUUUGCAGAAACAGACUACGUGAUCAUCCAGACAAGGCCCUGACAGUGACUGCAUAACUGUGCAUGCCCACUGCCCUCCUGCACCAACUCUUUCUCUCCGUACAAGUCUGAAUCCAUGUCAGUAACCAGAGGAUGGGCCUGGGGUCAGCAAAUACCUUUAUUUGUUUCUCUUCCUAGUGUGGUCACAUUAAAUAAACCUCUCGUUGCUUUUCACU